CCAGGCAAACAGGAAAAGCAGGGCCGCGGCUUCGGCUGCCACCCCAAAGGCCACAUUCUCCUGUGCACACAG
ensembl:miRNA